rnacentral:tRNA from 1 species
GGGUGAGUGUCUACUGUUGGUACGUAGUGUCAGUCUGUAAAACUGAAGUGGUUUUUUAGCCUCGGGGGUUCAAUUCCCUCCUCACCCA